rnacentral:rRNA from 1 species
UGGGGAAUAUUGGACAAUGGGCGAAAGCCUGAUCCAGCAAUGCCGCGUGAGUGAUGAAGGCCUUAGGGUUGUAAAGCUCUUUUACCAGGGAUGAUAAUGACAGUACCUGGAGAAUAAGCUCCGGCUAACUCCGUGCCAGCAGCCGCGGUAAUA